rnacentral:rRNA from 1 species
CGGACGGGUGAGUAACGCGUGGGUAACCUGCCUCAUGCAGGGGGAUAACGGUUAGAAAUGACUGCUAAUACCGCAUAAGCGCACAGUACCGCAUGGUACGGUGUGAAAAACUCCGGUGGUAUGAGAUGGACCCGCGUCUGAUUAGCUUGUUGGUGAGGUAACGGCCCACCAAGGCGACGAUCAGUAGCCGGCCUGAGAGGUGACCGGCCACAUUGGGACUGAGACACGGCCCAA